CUGGGGUGAAAUAUUAAGCGAGCAGAGCAGACUAUGAGGUCAUGGGAUCGCAGCGCCACGACCUCCCCCAGACCAAGUACCCACUAGCAGGGCGUGUAUUCGCCAGCGGAUUAAACAGGUUGAGUCAGAAAUGAAUGAGUACAGGUGCAUAGACAAUAGGUCGCGAAGUAACCAUUGCAACGUUCUGUGUGAGGGGAAACGAGCGAGAAUCACAGGUAGGUGCACGAUUGGCCGUGCGGAAUAAUGCGACCCUGGGUUUUUGAAGUGAGGGGAAUAAAAAGGGGAACCCGAGGCAUUCAAGGGAGAACUCUUCUUCAACAGCUCGGUCGCCAAGACCCCCCCCGCCCUGCCGUCCUGCCUCCUCGAGCCGCUCGCAGCAUCCGUGUGAUGCCAGCGAGUGCUGCUACGAGGCAGUGAAGGCAAGGUGUUUUCGUCAUCCUCCCUCCGACUCUCACAGCGUCCGUGCGACGCCGUGAGUACAGCUGCGAGGCCAGGACCCUCCGCCCUCUGUUAGAUUCGAGUCGCAGACAGGGCGACGCUCUAUGGCGUCAAGUUGAAUGACCCGUGGCACAGUGCGAACCCAAGGGCAGUGUGGGUGGGCAGGGCUGGAGAGUGCCCGCGUGGCUCGCAGCUUGGGGGGCCCACGCGGGUCACCUUGUGUGUGAGUGUGAGCACGUGUUCAGCUGUGGCCCUCUCAUCCCCUGCCGGCCUGCUCAUCCUGGGUUGUUACUUCAAGCACGCCACGCUCGUCCUCGAUGAGAAUUGCAUUGGGACGAUCUGGUAAUAGCUCAUCUCCAACGCAUAUGCCAUGCAGGCAGACAGGUAUCCAUGUUCUGGAAUAGGCUUUAAAACAAGGCCGUGAGUUUAUAUGAGCAUGUGUAUACCCCAUACAAAUGGACAUCUGUGAAAAAUAGCUUUAGAGCUAAAUCGGAUUUCUCCAGUAUCAAUAAAUAUUCUGACUCUGAAAUGCCAUUUCUGACUGAAAUGCCACAAUGUGUAUGCGACUUAUUACAGCGUAUGGUUGCAAUGUUGUGUUUAUAGACUGAGGUACCUUAGUGUGUGCAUGAAUUAGGGAUGAUGAAGCGUGAGAGGGGGAUUGGAUUAUUGAUUAGAGAACACGCGUUCGGCUUCCCAUGCUCUGAGACAGGCAGAUUACGCCGCUCUCCGCCUUCGUGCAUCGUUUUACACGGCCCCUCAUUUUCAUCAUCCCGGCGUGUGAUAUUAACAACAUUCAGGUGAUUAUAAUGAAUAAUUGCAAAAUACAGUGGUGGUUGACGGCUGCGCACGGUGCGUUGCGAAAGUUUAACAUGUGAUGCUGUUCGUGUACGAUUUGAUGUUGCUGUGUGUGCAUGACAUCACGCAUCUUCUACCCUUCCUCGUGUCCUCUGUGAUUUUUUUUCUAACGUGUCCAUUGCACCCAUACACUGUCUCAUUUGGAUUGUCUCCUCGAUAUUAAAGAUCAUGAUAAAGCUGAUUAGAAGAGCAAUUUUAAAAAAGUCCACAU